rnacentral:misc_RNA from 1 species
AGAAGAAAAUAAAUAAAUAAAUAAGCGAAUUUGAGUUCCUUAAAGAUCCAUAUACAGGCAGAGAGGGAAAAGUUAAGAAAAGACACAAUUAAAAGUUAAGAAAAGAUACAAUUUUUCAAGAAAUUUUGUAUUUUUUAUUAAAAGAAUAAAAGGGGCAGAAUAUAGGAAAGACAAGGGACUGGCUUCGCUGCAAUUCUCAUAUGUGCCAAUCAAUGACGGAGCUCAUAUUUACUGCUGUCUGAUGCUGAAAGUUUUCUAAUUCUACAAUUCGGAAAUUGUUAACUCGGACGGCUUUCGAA